GGGCUUGACAUCCCACGAACCUGCCCGAAAGGGUUGGGUGCCCGCAAGGGAGCGUGGAGACAGGUGGUGCAUGGCUGUCGUCAGCUCGUGUCGUGAGAUGUUGGGUUAAGUCCCGCAACGAGCGCAACCCUCACCCCUUGUUGCGACCGGGUCAUGCCGAGCACUCUAGGGGAACUGCCAGCGUCAAGCUGGAGGAAGGCGGGGAUGACGUCAAGUCAUCAUGCCCCUUACGCCCUGGGCUACACACGUGCUACAAUGGCCGGUACAAAGGGAUGCGAUGUCGCGAGGUGGAGCUAACCCCAAAAAACCGGUCUAAGUUCAGAUUGCAGUCUGCAACUCGACUGCAUGAAGGAGGAAUCGCUAGUAAUCGCGCAUCAGCACGGCGCGGUGAAUACGUUCCCGGGCCUUGUACACACCGCCCGUCACACCACGAAAGCCGGCUGUACUCGAAGUCGCUGAG
rnacentral:rRNA from 1 species